GUAGGUAGUUAUCGUUCCGGGUUAUCAAACCGCGAACUGUACUUAAGAUAUUUUAGCAAGCAAAGCACUGUCCAUGACAUUUGGUGAAAACAGUAUACAUUUUGCACAGCAAUUGAGUUUGUUUCAAUCAAUCAAAGCAGACCAAUUCAUGAAUUUGUUGAAAGCAGCACAUAUUUUCACAGUAAAUGAGUUUGUUUUAAGCAGCAGCAUCACAAUGAAUUAUAGCAUCAGUUGAAUGGCUCGGCGCAAACUGAAUCUUGAGACGACAAGGGGAAAAACAAAUUGUAAUUCAA